UAGAGGAAGUAAAAGUCGUAACAAGGUCUCCGUAGGUGAACCUGCGGAGGGAUCAUUACACAAAUAUGAAGGCGGGCUGGAACCUCUCGGGGUUACAGCCUUGCUGAAUUAUUCACCCUUGUCUUUUGCGUACUUCUUGUUUCCUUGGUGGGUUCGCCCACCACUAGGACAAACAUAAACCUUUUGUAAUUGCAAUCAGCGUCAGUAACAAAUUAAUAAUUACAACUUUCAACAACGGAUCUCUUGGUUCUGGCAUCGAUGAAGAACGCAGCGAAAUGCGAUAAGUAGUGUGAAUUGCAGCAUUCAGUGAAUCAUCGAAUCUUUGAACGCACAUUGCGCCCUUUGGUAUUCCAAAGGGCAUGCCUGUUCGAGCGUCAUUUGUACCCUCAAGCUUUGCUUGGUGUUGGGCGUCUUGUCUCUAGCUUUGCUGGAGACUCGCCUUAAAGUAAUUGGCAGCCGGCCUACUGGUUUCGGAGCGCAGCACAAGUCGCACUCUCUAUCAGCAAAGGUCUAGCAUCCAUUAAGCCUUUUUUCAACUUUGACC
rnacentral:rRNA from 1 species